AGGCUCCUCCAUUCUCGGCACAAGUAGCCCUCACUGCCCUUAAAAUCCAGAUGCUUCCCUUGCUGAUGCCUGUAUCCUCAGGUACAGGCAUCUUCUGUUGUGUCUUGUAAUUACAUCUCUGAACCAGUGGGUUUAUUUUAUAAGGACAAAAAGAUUUUUACAAAAUUUAUGGUCAAAUUCGUAGCCCACCUCUACCAGCUGUUCAGAAUUGGUGAGUACUCAUUUCUGCUGCUAUUCUUAUCCCAGGUUUAUUAUUUCCAUAUUUUCCCUCUUUGCUGGUCCCCCACCUCCACUGCAAUAGAAAAUUGUUAUAGAAUUUGAUCUAUACGAUGCAGUUUUAAAUGGAGGCAAUAUCAUCCCUAGGAGGCUAAAAAUUGAUUUGAGAGGGCAAAAAUCUUACUUUGUACAAGCUCCUGUAUGCGAAUCCUACAGUACAUAAACAGAGAUUACACCUGUAGUGUUAGAUUUUCAUUGAGGGACUCCUUAGGGGGAUGACAUAGGGAAAAAGGGUCAAGAAUCAGUAAUUGAUGAGUCACCCAUGAACUUGAGUAGCCCAUCUACACUGACCCCUUCCCAUGACACGGCUGCUCAGAAGUUAGGCAACAAGCAGAAGUCCAGCCACUUCUACUGCUUGGCCACUUCCCACGUGCUUUGUUUGGGCAACUAAAACCUGCAGUGUGACCUUUGCUUCCAUCUCUGGAGACCAGUGGCUCUCCCUUUAGCGGCUUAUAGAGUAACCUGCCGAGGGACAGUGUGUUCCAAGCAGAGCCCUUGGUCUCACCUCGGUAAGUCUGGGUGUUCAGUGGAUCCCGAUGAACCCUCUACAGAGCCUCCACUUGGGAAUCAGGCACUAAGGUGAAUAGUGUUUCAUCCCAAACUUCAAUGAAAGGGGUGAGGGUGGGGGCCAAUUUGACUUUAUUACUAAAGAGCUCCAUCCCAGAUAAUCCACUAAUCAAACACCAGGGUUCAUUGUAUGCAUGGUGGGCUGACUGGCCUUAGACUGUUCAGAAAGUCCCUUCCCCUGUGUGCUGUAGGGGCAGGUCUCCUGUCCUCCAGCCCAGGAGUAGGGCAUUCCACUGGGCACAGUGGGCUCCACUUGCCCUCACUGCUUGUGGGUGAUGCAAGCCCAGCAUGACAGGCUGUGGAAAGUAUGUUCAGGUGCUUGGCUCCCUCAGCCUAAAGCCUUUUAAAUCAGGAUCCAGAUUUGAUUUGAUUUUCCUUGCCUUCCUGGCUCAGACUCCUCCAGGCUUAUUUUUCUCUCCCCUGUCUGGCUUGCCAGGGUUUGGAGCUAGGGUGAGCCAAGUCCUUCACACUUCACAGGCAGCCUUCCCUCCCAGGGUGAGAUGGUGCACAGCCUCUCACUCCAGCUCCCAGCAGGCCCCAUCCCAUCCUGUCUGCAGCCCCGCUGGGGUUUUUGGGUGAGAAGGACCUGCACUUCAUAGAGGAGCUGCCUGGGUACUUGGUGUGUUAUCAAAUGAGAGACAAACAAGUUUGAGCAGAGGCAGGGAACAGGAACCACACUUGAAGGGGUCAUCAGAGCAUGAGUCCUACCUUCCUUCACAGCACCCAGCACUCAGGGCUGGGGUGUCUGGCACAGGCAUGAGAGGAGCAGAUCUAGAGCCUCAGUGAUUACAGGAUGUGAAUCUUCUGAAUGCAAGGGCAGCAUCUUGGUCUCUGUCACCUUUUUAUUCCAGGGGUCCUGCAUGUGAUUAAUGUUAUCAAAGCGAACCAACCUGCAAACUGCCUAGUGCAGUCAGCCCUGAGUGCCACAACCAUCCCAGGUCACCAGGGGUCAACUGGUGAACACACUAAGAGGACAACUAGGUCCCUACUCCAAAAUCUUGUUUACAUUUUGUGCUUAGGACAUCAUGGAGUUCUGGAGCAGGAAAGGGCCCAGAAGUCAUCUGGUUUGACCUCCUCAUUUCAUAGAUGAAGAAACUCAAGUCCAGAGGCCAGAGUGCACUAGAGACCAAUACCCAGGCACAUGACCACCAGGCCAGCCCUCCCUCCAGAUCACUCUAGCAGUGUGAAGAGAAGCCAGAUCUGUGAAAAUCAACAGACUCCCGGCCAAAGACGGUUGAAAGGAUGGCAUUUUGGCAUCACCAGGCUGACUGCGGCACCCUAAUAUACUGUAUUUAAAUCCAUCCUCACUCAGUGAUGGGUGGGGCUCCAUCCUAGAGGCCUUGGAGAACCCACAGAUGAGUAAGAAAUUUCUCUCAAGGGGCUGUCAUUCUUCUGAUAAGUACCUAAACAUCCAGAACACAAAGCCAAAGGUAUACAGCACAGCAGGCAAGGAGAAGCAGGGUGGGCUCCCUGGAAGAGGUGACAUUUGGAAGAAGCUGGUUAGUACUCUGAUAUGCUUAGGGUGUGGACUCCAGUUAGUGAAGAUGACAGAAGUCUAAGAGGACCUGCUCAGGGACCUUGGUGCAUGGCACAGGCCUGGGCAGCAAAGCAGUGAGUAGAAAGCUUGUAAGAGAACUGACCUAGCAUAACUGAGAAAGCUGAAAGCCAGGCAGCAAGCCUGGACUCAAAAGCAUGGAAAGGUUCUGGUCCACUUAAAGCCCCUUGUUGGGAAGGACCUCACAAAAGGUCAGCCUGGAAGGUGCAGAAGGACAAACACCUGGGAACACAAGGCCACAAGUCUUCAUGCCUCUGCCACCCGCAGAUGGAUGGAGAGAUUUGAUUCAGGAAAGGUGGUUAGAUAUGUCAGGUCUCAUUCUUCAUCUGGCUCUCCAGGAGACCACUGUCCUGAGUCCCUGGUGCUCCCCGCACACGUGUCACCUCACCGAAUUCUGCAAAAUGUUCUCCAAGUGAUGAGGAGUGAAAGAGAGACAACUAGCAUGCACUACUCUCAACCUAGAAGAGGUCUGUACACUGUAAGAUGCUACACUAAGUAUAGCAUAUUAUUAAAAAUAAGAUGUAAUCAGAAUAAACUAUAAAGGAAACUCUACCACCAAGAUACAAACAGACCCUGAGUAGAGAAUAAGAUGUUAAAAAUGGAAACAACUGUUUAGAUUAUUUGGUUCAACUCCCAACCUGGUUUAUAGAUUGCAAAUCAACAUCCUCGCUAAUGAGGACUCUGCCCUCCUCACCUACUUCAGCACUAAACAUCAAGCUUCCAGUUCAUGGUAAAGUGCAGAGUAAGCACUGAUUGAGUGAAUCAAAUCCAAACACUCAAAAUCUGUCUGGAAUAAAUACAGAACAUUACUUAGAGAAGGCAAGAGAAUAUUUAGAAAAAUCUGUGAACUGAACAAAAAAUAAUCUCUCUUUGCCAGGCACCCAGUAGGAGCUGGCAGUGAAGUAUGUUUUUAAAAAAUAAGGUAUGUGAAACAGAUCACACACUAUAAUAUCUAAGUCACAGGAUUUCAGAACUCAAAUGGCCUUUUAAGGGUCAUCCAAACCAUGACUUUAUAAGAAGGAAUCUAAAGUUCAAGGAGACGUAGUAGUCUGUCUAAAGUUUUAAAGCAACUCCAUAGCAACUAGAUCCUCAGUCCAGAGAUCUUUCCACAGCACAUUAUGUUAAUUAUCUAAUUAAAUUCUAAAUUGUAGAGUGCAGAGUAUAACCCUCCUGGAAUGUGGCAAUGGAAGAGAAUACGAGGGGAUGGACGAGCUGGAAAAAGGUUCAUAGAAGAGGAAAAAGUUAAUUUUCUGUUUCCCAAGUAGAUAGCUCAUUAGUUGUGAGAUCAGCGAAGGUGAUAGUCACAUUUGCUUUUUCUAUGAAUCCCCAGCAUCUUGAGCACACAAGAAACUCAACUAGUGGUCAGUUUUAUAAAAAACCAAAAGUAGCAUCUUUAUUACUAACUUUGAAGGAGGUUACAUAUAGUAAGGUCUGAACAUACCCAGUUCUGUGGAACUGCACAAAAGGGACAAAUGACCUCACUCGGGUGCCGUCCCCCACGCCUCUGCAGACCCUCACUAAUGCCCAGCCCUGGUGUCCUGGCCCUGGCCAAGCAGAGCGCACUGUGAGGGUAAGAACACCUGAAUCAGGGCCUGACUCUCAUGGCUCACUGCGGCACGCAGGUUUGUUUCCGUUUCAAGGCAGACAGUCAGGACAGUCAGAAACAGUUAAAACAAUAGGGCCCCACAGGCCUUCUUAGCAAAGACAGAUGUAUCUGGAUAGCGCCAGCUUCUUUUCUCUGAUAGAAAACCUGUCACCAAGACAUUUUAAAGAUGUAGACACUUAAAGAAUUUCCAACAAAAAAUGCUAUUCACACGCUUCCAAAUUUCAUGCAGUGAACAUGUCGAUGAUUUUAUGUAGCUGUUACCAGUCUGUGCACAGUGUCCUUUCCGCUUUACAUUAUUCACACACAUUUCCACUUAUGAAAGGAAGUAUCAAAAAUGCCAAGUACACGAUUAUGUAAUAUCUGCCACAUUGAUGGGUAUUUAAUGAUCUUCCUCUGAGCACAAACUGGUUCCUUUUUGCUGUUAUGAAAAGUGCUCUGAACAUCUUUUUUCCUUGUCCUUUAAGAGUUAAGCUGGUGUCGGAAGUGGAAUCUGUGCACAGCAUAUCUAUGGUUUUACUGCCCCUGUGACAUCCUACCAGUCUGAGCCCCAAGAAGGCUACACCAAUCCUUAGUGCUCCCAGCAAAGGAAACCUCUCAUCUCCUCACAGCCUCAACAGUGGGCUCUUGGUAGCUUUUAUUUUGCUAGUCUUUCAGGUACAUAAAUACUUGAAAGGGAUUUUAAUUUCCACUUGUUUAAUUGUCAGCAGUGUUGUGUAAUGUAUUUUGAUGCAGUUACAUAUUUUCUGUGCCCAAACUUUGUCUACUGUUUUUUUUCCAUUUAAAUUGUCUCUUCAACUUUGAACAUUUACCAGAUAGAAUCUGGACACUGAACUCAGAGAGCUGUACCAAAUAUUUUUAUAUGCAUUUUAUUACACUUUUUAAAUUAUAAAGAUAAUUUCUAGCUACUGUUUAAAAAUUACAGCAAUAUGAAUAUGUAUAAAGUACAAGCGGAAAACUGAGGUUAUAAAUUGGCAAAGGGUUUCUUUUUCUCUUACUCUUUCUAUCCCUUUCAUAAUUCUAAGUAAUAUUCUGUAUCUGUUAAGUGACACAAAAAUAUGAAAACUAUAUAUAUUAAUGGAUGCAAUAUAAUGUCUUGAUAGAUGUACACAUUGUGUAAUUUUUGAGUCAGAUUAAACAUAUCUGUCUCCUCAAACAUUGAUCAAUUUUUAUGCUGAAAACUUUCAAAAUCCUUUCUUAUAGCUUUACAGAACUUCCUGCCAUAUGGCAGAAUUUCCUGCUCCUAACUGUGACUAAGUACCCUUAGUUAAUCUUUCCUCUGGUGACCACCAUUCUACUCUCAACUUCUUCGUAUCUAUUUUUUUUUUCAGAGUUGGAGAUUUAACCCAAGGCCUUCACACAGAGCUACAUCCCAGCCUUUUAAUUUUUAUGUAUCUAUUUUUAAGACAGGCCUUGGUAAGUCCCUAGGUUGCCCAGGUGGGGCUGGAACUUGUGAUCCUCCUGUCUCAUCCUCUCAGAGUGCUGGGAUCUGUGCCACCACACCUGGCUUCUAUUUUUUGAUUUAAGAAAUUAGACAUCACUCGUUCCACUCUGAAUGACGAAAAUUUUCUAUGGCUUACACUGCUCUCCUCUUUCCAACCUGUCUUGAUUUUUAGAUCUCUUAUUGGGCAUUUAUGGUGAGGCCACAAACUCAAAUGUCCACAGAGUUUGGGCAGGAAACCUAAAUACAGAAAGUGGAUCCAGGCAAGAAACAUCUGGAGGCUGUUUCUGCCCAUUUUCUGCUGUCCACCUGGAACGGGAAGGGAAGAGAAGCAGCAAAGAGAAUGAGCAACAGGCACUUGGCCUUUGUGUUAGGAGGUAGCUGGGAAUAAGGAGAUUAGCAAUGUGGGCAAGACCCGUGAAUGCCACCCACUGAGAAAGUGGAAAUGUUGCCAGAUCUCAUUUUUAUGAACAAACAUUCAUAAAUAAAUUGUAAGCUUCCCAUUUGUACAUCUUAGUUCAAACUUUUGGAGACCACCGCCAGCCAAAUACAAAAGCUCUCUGCACCUAAUCUGGCCAAUGAGUUGACCAUUUUUUACCUCUAUCACUAGGGUUUUAAGUCAUAUACUUAAACCUCUGUUUCCUGACCCAUCCUUUUUUUUUUUUUUGUACCAGGGAUCGAACUCAGGACCUUACACUUUCAAGGCAGGCACAGCACCACUUAGCUAAAUCCCUGGCCCUGACCCAUCCAUUUUAGAUGCUAUCUCUUCCCUUCCUAUUGUACAAGAUGAGGACUUCAGUGUUCCUAUACUUUUUUCUUCUAGUCUUUACUUUACCUUCACCACUGCUUUACUUUUGGCUUGUCAAAGCUUAAGAAUUUAUUUUCUAUUCUGUAACUAUAACUAACACUAUUGAGCUAUACCUAUGGGUUGAUCCUAAAAAGAGCAAUUUUCUUGACAGCAAUAUUAUAUUGUAUACAUGUUGGCCUCAAACAUCUAGUGGCCAUGAAUGAGUUAUUCAGAAUCACUGACUGAAGAACCAGUUUCCCAAUGUAGGCAGCCAUGGUGGCUUUUCUGCCUCUCAGGUUGGUCCUGUCUCCCUGAACAAGAGGCUCCACAUGGGGCACAUCUCUGGGCAGGCUGACUUAAUGUUAGUCUGUGAAGGGAGUGGACAGCACGGUCGAUAAUUUCCACCUUAUGGAAAAGUGAAAGAUUUUUUCUUGAGACACUGACAAUAGCUACACUAAGACUUCAGUUUUGUUCAUAUAGAUAGUAAUCCAUACAGAUGGUCAAUUACCCUGAUUUCUACCUUACAGUCUACUUCUACUCUUGGAAUUCUUUCAUUUCAAACAUAUGGUUUCCCCUUCUGCCAAGGCCUUCCCUCUUAUCUGUUCUGGUGGACAGAGCUUAUAGAGCAGUGGUGGUGAACUGAUGACAUGUGUCUGCAGUGGGCUGUUUGAUAUCAUCAAAAGCUGUAAAAGGUUCACCAUCACUGCUAUACAGCCUUCAAUAUAAUCCCAAGAAAAUCUCUCAGCCACUAAUGUCCUCUUCUGUUAUUAGUGCAGUCCUGAAUUUACUCUUUGAAUUUUUUUUUCUAAUACUGUGAAUUGAACCUAGGGUGUCAUGCAUGAUAGGCAAGUGGUCUACCACUGAGUUAUACGCUCAUCCCUGUUUAUUUUUUUUUUCAGACAAGAUCUUGCUAAGCUCCCCAGGCUGGCCUCAAACUUGGGAUCCUCUUGUAUCAGCCCCUGGACAGCUGGGGUGAUAGGUGUGCACUCUCUCAUUUGAACUUCUCUGUUUAUUUCAGUGGCAUAUUUGGGAAGGAGAAAGUUAGUAAAUCUGUUUACUACAUCAUUUUGAGCUCGAAGUGGCCACCAAAUGCUAACAAUUACACAGUUUCAGCAAUACCUGUCGUCUUUCACAUCCUCUUGCUUUAGGAAUUCCGUGGCAGCCUGGAACAGACAGCUGUGGAAAUCUGGGGAGCACAUUCAAGCUUGCUGGGAAAGCAAGGUUAGCUUUCUUUACCAAAGAUGAAAGACACAUACUGUCUCAACGAAAGAUGACAUUGUUCUUCAGAUAAAUCCUAUGUCCUAAGUAAA